rnacentral:rRNA from 1 species
GAUUAGAUACCCGUGUAGUCCCAGCCGUAAGCGAUGCUCGCUAGGUGUCAGGCAUGGCGCGACCGUGUCUGGUGCCGCAGGGAAGCCGUGAAGCGAGCCACCUGGGAAGUACGGCCGCAAGGCUGAAACUUAAAGGAAUUGGCGGGGGAGCACAACAACGGGUGGAGCCUGCGGUUUAAUUGGACUCAACGCCGGACAACUCACCGGGGACGACAGCAAAAUGUAGGCCAGGCUGAAGACCUUGCCUGAAUCGCUGAGAGGAGGUGCAUGGC